UGCCUGGAAUACGGAGAAGGAAGAGAAUGACGACAAGCCCUCCUUUGCUGAGAAAUAGCAGGAGCCCCGAAGAAACAGCAAAAAGCCAAACAACACAAAAACCCAGAACUUCUCAGUACAUGCAAGAGUGCUGAAAAAUAAUGAUAAUGAUGAGAUGCGCCUGCUUGAAAACAAAACAAACAAACAAACAAAAACUCAAACCAAAGCAAACCAAAAGCAGCAAACUUUGGCUUGUCUAACUCCUGAGACAUCGGGCUUUGUAGAGCAGUUCUGAAGGCAACACCACCAAAUGAGCCUUCUUUGUUUUUAUUUCUUUGCUUUUUUAUGGUUAUUUCAAAAACUGUGGCCUAAGAGCAGUACGUUGCACUUGGUGAACCCGCACUUUCGUAUCAGGGGAACAUUUAAAGUGGAUAUGAGAAGAAAAGAAAAUGACCAUAGGAGAAAAAUCAUCUCAGAUUCACUUUAUGAAAAUUGCUCCUGAAAGAAUUUGGAUGUCCAAGAGUGGUCCCUAAAGGACCAAUACUUAUAGGACCUGGGAAUCCUUUUGAUUCUGCAGUGCAACUACCUAUCCUCUGUCCUCCAGUGAUGUCUGCUCAUGGUUAAAGUGAAGCAGAAGCAAUGCUUCUGUUGUUUACAUGUUUGCUUUCCCUCAGUUACGUAGAAAUCAAGACAUAAAUUCCUCUACACUUCAUACCAAACUGGAGUGGUUCAUUGUGUGCUAGCCACUGGUUAUUGCCACCUUAAUUUUGUAAUCAUGCUUACUUUUGAGGGUCUUUGUUGUCUGCAGACUAUUGUUAGGGUUGUUACCUCCCUUUUACUGUGAAGGGAGAAGAGAGAAGGAGGGAACAGAAUCAUAAAGAUUAGUGCUCAAUUGAUGGAGGAAACAGAAGCUUGUUCAAAUUUGGGUUUCCUCUCUUUCAUUUUAGUGUGUACCUGUGAACAAACUUGCCCACUGUCUCUAAAGGGCACUCCCUUAGGCCAGUGACAGAACCUAUCCUAUAACAACAGCCCCAAGAGAAACAUUAUUUGCCAUGGGAGUUAUAGCAAAGUACCCAGAAAUUCCAUUUAAACACUUGAAGUGAGAAAUGGCCCUCAGUGUGUCUUUCAUUUCCUUGAUUCCAGGGAAAAAUGCAAACAAAUGGGGGCUCCAACACUAGGCUGUAAGUUUGAAUCUCUUACAAUGGCCCAGACCUUUCCUUAUCAGAUGCCUUAUCUGUAGAGCUCUGGUAACAUCAAAAGUUCCUGAACAGUCACUUGUUAUAAACUUAGAAUAGGGUCUGCUUAGUACUCGUAGUUAAAAGAACUAUAGUCAUUAUUGCUAUUUGUUAUUUGUGAAAAUUAAGUCUCAUCUGACUUGAAAUGCAUAGAAAGUGCUUGUAUUUCUCUUUAUAUAUAAGAACGGCAAUUCCCUCCUAAAACUAGAAGUUAGGAAGUUCAGAAUCAGCUUCUUCAUUUGUUAGAAGACUUUGGAACAGAUUUCUCUGUUUAUUAGAGGGUUUUCCAUCACUCCAUCUUGAGAACAAGCAUUCUGAGCAUGUGGAAAAUGAGCAUAUCCCCCUGGUGCCUUUGGCAGCACAUCAAGAGCAUAUAUAAAUUUACAUUACAAGUCCAUCUCUGUCCUGACACUUCCCUGAACUUCAUCUCUGUAGGAUGAUACUUUAAUAAUGACUUCUUGUAAACAUUUGGAAUGGAUUCAGACAUAGGUUAGUAUGGUUUCUGGUAAACAUCAAGAGGAAGAUUGCUCAUUGAUUUUAUCAUAUAUCUUGCAGAUCUACCCAUUGUGUAUCAUUCUCAUCCCUCUACUAAAUCUAGACACUACAAGAUAUGGGGUUGUCUUUAAAGCCUUGCCCUUCCAUUUGAGGGGAGUCAGAGACACCUCCCCUACAAGAAGGAAGAAAACCUUGUGUCAACAGCUGUCAGUGAAAAUCUGUCCCUACAAGUUUGUGUCAUGGAGCAUUAAUAUUCUUUAUAUGGCCAACAUUUCUAGCAUUUAAUUUUCCAGAUGUAUUUUCAAAAAACAUGUUAUAGUACGGUCCAUUACCAAUCACUAAUAGAGAGUUUUAUGACUCACUUUUGGACCAAAAAAAAUGAUCAUUUGUUCUGUGAGGAUACAUUUGCAAAACUAGAUGUGGUAACAUUUAAAUGGCCACUUAUUUCUAGUAGAAUACCGCUCUGACUGUAGCCUAAAACUUAGAUUUUCAAUUCAUGGCAUCAUUAUCUUCAAACCCAGAUGGAUGUAUUUUGCACUUAAGGAGCAUAAGUGAAACCAGUUGGAUGGAAAUAGGCUGUGUCUUAUCAUUAAGAAAUUUAUAAAUGGAAAAAUAGUGAUUUGCAUACUAAAUGUAUGGUUGGAGGCCAGGUCCAUCCCCCAAUGGAGUUUGGCUUUUCAAGAAAGAGGAAAGCAACACACAUCUCCACUACAUGCUCCUUUGUUAAAGAAUGGUGGCUCCAGUAUCCAGUGGUCAAGCUGAGCCAUGUGAGCUCUUUCAUGAGUGUGAUGAGCAUUGUGGGGAUUCUUCCAUGACUCAUCUGUCCCUUCCAUCCACAAAACUUUUAUUUUAUGCAUAUUCUGCAUUUUAAAUUUCUAGAAAAUAGAGCUCUUAAAAUAAUGCCAUCACCGCCUUUAAUCCCACCACUCAGGAGACAGAGGCAGGCGGAUCUCUGUGAG